rnacentral:rRNA from 1 species
UACCAGCCCCCUGAGUGAUAGGGACGAUUAUUUAGCCUAAAGCGUCCGUAGCCGGCUUAGAAAGUCUUUCGUUAAAUCUGACGGCUCAACCGUUAGGCCGCGGAAGAUACUUCUAGGCUAGAGGGCGGGAGAGGUUGACGGUAUUUCCGGGGUAGGGGUGAAAUCCUAUAAUCCCGGGAGGACCACCAGUGGCGAAGGCGGUCAACUAGAACGCGCCUGACGGUGAGGGACGAAAGCUGGGGGAG